AAGAUGGGAGCUUGCUCCCUGAUGGUAGCGGCGGACGGGUGAGUAACACGUGGGUAACCUGCCUGUAAGACUGGGAUAACUCCGGGAAACCGGGGCUAAUACCGGAUGGUUGUUUGAACCGCAUGGUUCAGACAUAAAAGGUCGGCUACCACUUACAGAUGGACCCGCGGCGCAUUAGCUAGUUGGUGAGGUAACGGCUCACCAAGGCAACGAUGCGUAGCCGACCUGAGAGGGUGAUCGGCCACACUGGGACUGAGACACGGCCCAGACUCCUACAGCAGUAGGGAAUCUUCCGCAAUGGACGAAAGUCUGACGGAGCAACGCCGCGUGAGUGAUGAAUUCGGAUCGUAAAGCUCUGUUGUUAGGGAAGAACAAGUGCCGUUCAAAUAGGGCGGCACCUUGACGGUACCUAACCAUAAAGCCACGGCUAACUACGUGCCAGCAGCCGCGGUAAUACGUAGGUGGCAAGCGUUGUGAAUUAUUGGGCGUAAAGGGCUCGCAGGCGGUUUCUUAAGUCUGAUGUGAAAGCCCCCGGCUCAACCGGGGAGGGUCAUUGGAAACUGGGGAACUUGAGUGCAGAAGAGGAGAGUGGAAUUCCACGUGUAGCGGUGAUGCGUAGAGAUGUGGAGGAACACCAGUGGCGAAGGCGACUCUCUGGUCUGUAACUGACGCUGAGGAGCUGGGGGAGCGAACAUGGAUUAGAUACCCUGGUAGUCCUACGCC
rnacentral:rRNA from 1 species